UGCCGUGAGUGUUCAGAGAUCAGUGGGAGGGGACAUGAAGGCUGGAGAGGCGGGGCUUCCUUUCUGGAGAAGGUCUGGGUGAGCAGACUGAUAGGAGACCUACUGAAAUGGAAGAAAGAGAAAAAUCUUCAGAAGUCCAAGGAUCUGGCCAUUGAAGGCUCUUAAGAGGUCCCCCUUCAAAGCAGUGCCAAGGGGAGGUGGGGUGGGCAGACACUGUGGACUGAAGAUGUGAGGCGAGGUUACCGGUGCCAAUCCCUUUGCUCCUCCAUCCUGAUUGGUGCAAGGGCAGGGCCUGAACAAAGCCCAGCUGACCAGAGCCCUUCCCCGAGACUGUGCACUUGGGAGAAUGCAAGCAAGUCCCUCUCUCGUCAGAGAACAUCACCACGUGAAAUGCAGUCCUGGCCAGCAGCUGUGUCCCCUGUCACCCAGGGCCUGCAAGUCAAAGAACCUGUGAUGUGAGAGGAUGGAGUCUAUCCCAACAGGAAGCAGAGACAAGAGAUUUAGUGAGUCCCUCAAAGGACUGUGUUCCUGCCCUUCCGUGGUUUGUGGCUUGGUGACUGAUUUCUUCCUCUGCUGGUGGGGCUAUCCAAAUCCUUUGAAUAAACUCCUGUUUCUCUAA